ACAACUUUCAACAACGGAUCUCUUGGUUCUCGCAUCGAUGAAGAACGCAGCGAAAUGUGAUAAGUAAUGUGAAUUGCAGAAUUCAGUGAAUCAUCGAAUCUUUGAACGCAUCUUGCGCUCCUUGGUAUUCCGAGGAGCAUGCCUGUUUGAGAGUCAUUAAA
rnacentral:rRNA from 1 species